UGAGUAACACGUGAGUAACCUGCCCUUGACUCUGGGAUAAGCCUGGGAAACUGGGUCUAAUACCGGAUAUGACCGCUCUGACGCAUGUCAGGUGGUGGAAAGCUUUUGUGGUUUUGGAUGGACUCGCGGCCUAUCAGCUUGUUGGUGGGGUAAUGGCCUACCAAGGCGACGACGGGUAGCCGGCCUGAGAGGGUGACCGGCCACACUGGGACUGAGACACGGCCCAGACUCCUACGGGAGGCAGCAGUGGGGAAUAUUGCACAAUGGGCGCAAGCCUGAUGCAGCGACGCCGCGUGAGGGAUGACGGCCUUCGGGUUGUAAACCUCUUUCAGUAGGGAAGAAGCGAAAGUGACGGUACCUGCAGAAGAAGCGCCGGCUAACUACGUGCCAGCAGCCGCGGUAAUACGUAGGGCGCAAGCGUUAUCCGGAAUUAUUGGGCGUAAAGAGCUCGUAGGCGGUUUGUCGCGUCUGCUGUGAAAGACCGGGGCUCAACUCCGGUUCUGCAGUGGGUACGGGCAGACUAGAGUGAUGUAGGGGAGACUGGAAUUCCUGGUGUAGCGGUGAAAAUGCGCAGAUAUCAGGAGGRACACCGAU
rnacentral:rRNA from 1 species